GGCCGAAUGGCGCAAUGGUAGCGCGUUACUUUCCGGUACUGCACUGCAGGUUGCCUUCGCUGGUUGGUAAAGGUUCUGGGUUCGAGUCCCAGUUUGGUCG
rfam:Thielavia terrestris NRRL 8126 chromosome 2, complete sequence.